GGUUUUUGUAAGGCAGCUUGAGCAGGAACAAGGAAAUAGCAUAAGACAAACCAGAGGUGGGGUGGCAUCAGGUCACCUCAGGCUGCCUUCCUCACAAGGAUUGAAGCAGAGGGACUUUCUUACCACAUAGCUUACAACUGGAUCUCCCUUCUGAUUUCUCAAAUGUCAGAUAAACAACGUCGUUUCAGUUUGGUGACAUGGAAUUUAAGUAUGAGUGACUCCAUUUUGGAACAACUCUGUGGGGCUGCUUGGAAGCCCCCGGAGAGAAGCCUGAGCUGCAUCUCACCGUGUGUUUCAUCCAUGGCGUGCUCCCAGCUCUAGCGUGCGUGGAGAGAGGUCAUGGAGUGUGGUUGCUUUACUUUCUACAAAAGUUCCGAAAGCAGGAGCCCACUGGAUGGAGUCUCAUUCUGUCACCCAAGCUGGAGUACAGUGGCGCAAUCUCAGCUCACUGCAACCUGCUUCUCCCGGGUUCAAGCGAUUCUCCUGCCUCAGCCUCCCCAGUACUGGGACUACAGGCGUGCACUACCACGCCUGGCUAAUUUUUUGUAUUUUUUAGUAGAGACGGGGUUUCACCAUGUUGGUCAGGCUGGUCUCGAAGUCCUGACCUCAGGCAAUCUGCUUGCCUCACCUCCCAAAGUGCUGGGAUUACAGACGUGAGCCACUGUGCCUGGCCCUCCCUGCUCUUCUUGUCCUGCACUGAGCAUCUCCCACCUUCUAGCAGAUCUGAUCGAUCAGUUUGUUCCAGUGUACAAUGACUGAUGAAGGCUGAAAUAUUAGUCAUUUACAUUAUAAAAAUGGAUAAUUGAAAAAUGUGCUGAUUAUCCCCCCAAAAGCCAUCGAAAGUAGCAGGCAUUUUAGACAACCCCAUUCUUGCUGGUUUCUCAACUUCAUUAACCCACGAAUGAAGAAAAUAACAAUAUAAAUGUUGAAUUUGUGCAUACGUGUUAUUGCUGAAUUUUAUAAGUCAUACUAUUCUUUAUAUUCAGGAGCUAUAUUGAGCAAAAUGCAUCAUGAGGAAUGAUUUAAU
rnacentral:lncRNA from 1 species